CGUCUAUAUACGUAUAGCAUAUCAAUAAGCGGAGGAAAAGAAACUAACUAGGAUUCCCUCAGUAACGGCGAGUGAAGCGGGAAGAGCUCAAAUUUGAAAUCUUCAAGGUUCUACCUUGACGAAUUGUAGUUUAAAGAAGUGUUUUCUGUUGGAAUUUUGGUAAGAGUUCUUUGGAAAUAGGACAUCAAUAGAGGGUGAGAAUCCCGUAUUUGACCAUUAUUUCCAGCUUUGUGAUACACUCUCAAAGAGUCGGAUUGUUUGGGAAUGCAGUCCAAAAUGGGUGGUAAAUUUCAUCUAAAGCUAAAUACUGGCGAGAGACCGAUAGCGAACAAGUACCGUGAGGGAAAGAUGAAAAGAACUUUGAAAAGAGAGUUAAACAGUACGUGAAAUUGUCAAAAGGGAAGCGUUUGACACCAGGUGUUGUUUUCUCGAAAAUCAAUUAAAAAUGCCUGGAUUUUGUGUUGUAUUGACUUUAUCAGCUUUCUGCACUUUUUUCCUGUCUUUUUUAAUGCACUUUUCGUUUAACAAGUCAACAUCAAUUUCUUUUGUUGUAAAAGGGUCAUUGGAAGGUGGCUUUCUUUUCGGAGAAAGUGUUUAUAGCCUUUGACUUCUGCAAUCGGAGAGAUUGAGGUCUGCAGCGUAGAUCCUUCGGGGUUAGAUGCAUUUGUGCUAAGUUAUAGCCUUUCAUAGACAACUUGUUGACUAUGAUCAGUCAUGUAGCUUACUCGCUUAUGUCAUUUUACCUACGCUUAGGAUGUUGACGAUCAGCUGAGCGCG
rnacentral:rRNA from 1 species